GUUUUACCCACUUGAUUGCGGGUUUGGGCCACAGAUUCAUGUUCAGGGUGGCUUGUCUUGUGCUAGGAUGGACAAGAAGCUGUCUUUCAAUCUGAACUUGUUUCAAGAAUUGCAAGUAGGGGAUGAGAAAAUCCACGUUAUUGUAUCGGAUGGCUAUCGUGGAGCCAGACAUCCAUUAGCAAGGGACCUUUGUUUGUACAGGCUGGGGCUGUUCAAU